GAUGAACGCUGGCAGCGUGCCUAAUACAUGCAAGUCGAGCGAACGGACGAGAAGCUUGCUUCUCUGAUGCUAGCGGCGGACGGGUGAGUAACACGUGGAUAACCUACCUAUAAGACUGGGAUAACUUCGGGAAACCGUAGCUAAUACCGGAUAAUAUUUUGAACCGCAUGGUUCAAAAGUGAAAGACGGUCUUGCUGUCACUUAUAGAUGGAUCCGCGCUGCAUUAGUUAGUUGGUAAGGUAACGGCUUACCAAGGCAACGAUGCAUAGCCGACCUGAGAGGGUGAUCGGCCACACUGGAACUGAGACACGGUCCAGACUCCUACGGGAGGCAGCAGUAGGGAAUCUUCCGCAAUGGGCGAAAGCCUGACGGAGCAACGCCGCGUGAGUGAUGAAGGUCUUCGGAUCGUAAAACUCUGUUAUUAGGGAAGAACAUAUGUGUAAGUAACUGUGCACAUCUUGACGGUACCUAAUCAGAAAGCCACGGCUAACUACGUG
rnacentral:rRNA from 1 species